CAAAGCAAUAAGUGGGCAAAGCAUACCGCCAUGGCACCACCCAGGCAAAGAUGAGUAUACGUAAAGGCAUAGGACACUGGUUUUCGGAGCAUGUUCAUUCCUCCCGAGCAAGUCCAACAAACCCAAUCUAAAGGCAUAGGACACUUGGCUUCAGAGUAUCAUCCUUCAUCGGCCCCCACCAGAUCCUAUCGGACAGCAACCCAGACGAGGACGAUGACCUCACUCAGCAAGAACCGGUGAUCCGCACGCCUCCGCCACCACCGAUUCGACGACGUCAUCGACCACAUCACUCCGGCCACCGCCGGCCCAGCCGUCCAGGCACAGUAGUCACAUCCCAAUAUCAGCGGCGCGUGCCAUGUCGGGCCGCCAUCAACCGCAGCCGCUGGGGCCGUUCAACCCUCCGGGACGCGUGCUGUUCCGUCUCUCGUUCAACGUCGACAACGCGACUGAGGAUGAUUUCGAUCGGUUCAUCCAGCAAGUGGAACAGGAGAUACUCAACCACAUGCGGAACCCGCGGUAUUGUGGGACGGCCGGCGCGGCAGUGCUGCCCUACUGUCGGCCAGUAGAGCAGCCGACGGGGAGGCGCGCGCCGGUGCAGCCUGUCCCGCGAGCCCAGCGGAGGCGCGUGGCGCCGGUGCUGCCCGUCCCGCGAUCCCAGCGGACGUGGUUCGUCAUCGUCCUCGAGACCCGGGACCGGGGGACGACGUACCGCGUGCCAUUCUUCAUCGAAGCCGAGACGGUGUACCUGCGCGGCUACCAGAACCAAGCGGGCAACCUGUUCGAGUUCGCCCCGGACAUCUCGCGCGACCACAACCUGCCGGCGAGAAGCUAUCUGGGCAACGCGGCCACCGCACUCUCUUUCAAUUGUAACUACGGCGAUAUAGUUCGUUCCACGGCCGAGAGAACUAGUUCCAGGGAGGACAGGAGGAGGGCCGGGGAUCCCGGCCUGAUUCUACAACCACUGCCAGCAGGGCCGCCGGCGCCAUGGGAGAGGCAGCGGCAGCAGCAGCAGCAGGGGGAGCGGCCGAGACGCAGCCCAAAUUUUGGGCAGGAACGGCUCAGGGUCGCCGUCAGGGAGCUGGCUCAGGCCAACAACGACAGCAGCCAGCACAGGACGGCGCAGAACUUGCUGCUCGUGAUCGUGCGGUUCUGCGAGUCUAUCCGGUUGCGGAACGUCAGGAGAGAGAUGGUGGAGCUCUGGACGGUGGAACCCAACAGCCGCGACCAGCAGCCGAGCCGUGGCCUCAGCGGCGCAGCUAUUCUUGUGAUAAACAACUGGAGCACACUGUCGCAGAACCUCUUGCGCCACGAGCGAAACCUGGGGCCCUGGCCGACGAACGGUGUUGCUGGAAUCGGCACUGCAGACGAGGCGCAGGGGAUAGUCGUCCUGGUACAGUUUAGCGGCGAUCCCAACGAGGCAGGCAACCGGACCCCGGAGUGGGUAAACGACGACAACGCCGACGGGCGGCAGGGCGGCCCUGGCGCCGGCAGGCCGGGGCCAUCGUGGGGCGCCGACGCUGCGGCGGUCACCCCGCCGCCCGUCAUCCUCGACUGGUACCUGGUGCCGGAGGAGCCUGCCACCGAGAUCUUGGGCGUGCUCGUCCCACAUCAGCAGAGCGGCGUCUACGGAAACAUCACCGUCACCGACUGCUUUGGUGCUCAGAGCGCGUACAGCCGCGACAGGGCCGGUUACCAACGCAGCUCCUCCGGCGAUUCCGCUGAGCUGAGACUGGAGCUCAAUGCUCUGAACCGCGCCAUCUCCGCGUACGGCUGCUUCUACAUCGACGUCGACCUCUGGAGCGCCUCCACGGGCCAGAUGCUGAGCAAGGGGCGCAUCUCAUGGAGCAGGUACAACUUCUGGACCAACCUGUGCGGCUACGUCCUGUACAAGACCAUCGGCCAGGCGCGCCUGGUCUACAUCGUCUACCGCAAGGCCGUGCAGGUCGCCGUGACCGUCACCGUCGACAACGGCGGCGACGACGACUUCGCCGGGGCCGGGGGGUCCUUCACCGCCACCAACACCCGGCUCACCAAGGUCCUCUACAACGAGCCCUUCCUCCCGCCGCCCGCGCGGCGCCCCAUGGUCCGCGCCGUCCGCUCUGACCGCGGCCCCCACGUCGUGCUCUACGGCGAGGACGUCGUCGCGGCGCCGCUGGAGGAGCUGCUCUCGGUCACGGUGUCCCUGCUCCCUCGCGGCGCCCGGCGGCGGGUGGCGGCCACCUUCGAGCUGGAGCCUACGGAGGCAAGCGGCAGCACCACCAAGACCAGCACCCUGCAGCAGGGCGGCACCGUGACGGUGAGCUUCGCCUGGAGCCUCCUUCCGAUGGGAUUGUCCAACUACUCCGCAGCUUCAGAUGGCCAGUGCCUUGCCUAACGGCCGGCCGGGAAAACAAAUCCUAUCACAUCGUCGUCCGGCUCCGAUCCGGCGUGCAUGCAUGAGUAGUAACACCCGCGGCGGAGGGCCUCAUCCCCGGCGCGAGCUCCCGGCGGCGGGCUUGCCGUCAAGCUCGGCGUGGAGGCAGGUGGCGGCGAGCUAUCCGCGGAUGGGUGGCCUCCGGUCGAUUCGCCCGGAGCCCCACAAGUCCACCCGCCGCACGCCCUCCGGUCGAUUCACACGGAGCCCCGCAAGUCCGCCCGCCGUGUGCCCUCCGGCGAGCGCGAGGACCGCGGGCGGAUGGGACGGGGAGGCGAGGAUGGAGGCGGCGAGCGUGGAGACGCGGCCGCGCGAGCACGGAGCCCUCGACAAAGACGUGCAGGACGAUGGAGAGGGCGGCCGGUGGAGAGCUCCAGAAACAGGAGCAACUGAGGCGCCAUGGCCGCGGGGAGAGGAGCAGAGGUGGAGCCUUGGAGGUGGUUGGAUCUGAGAAACAUGGGAUUGGGGGGCCCACUUGUUAGUAGGAGAAAGGGAUGGAGUGGAGGAGGGAUGGAUGGAGAAGCUGUUGGAUUUCUCACCUCUUGGAUAGUUAAACAGCUAGCUAAAUGGCUAGCUAAAUGAGAUUUGGCUAGUGUGAUUUAAAGAGACUCUUGGAGUUGCUCUAACCUCCAUUGUCCUUUGUCUCGAAAUAUUCUCCACGCGAGAAUCCAUGUCCUAAUGUAGUCGUGUACUUAACUAGCCAGCACGGCAGAUGCGCAGCGGAACCAGGACGUUUGCCGCCACUUCGAACUU